GGGCCGCUAGCUCAUCUGGUAGAGCGUACGCAUGGCAUGCGUAAGGUGACCGGUUCAAGUCCGGUGCGGUCCA
rnacentral:tRNA from 1 species